UUGCAGUGUCCCCAAUUAGUGCUCAAGCGCUAGAACGAUUAGACACUUAAUAAAUAAAGUUCCUUUCCUUUCCCUCAAAUGCAAGGGUCAUCUUUUGGUUCCUUGCUUUGGAAUCAAUAUAAAAAUGAUCUGACAUAUUUAGUGGAGAUUAACUAUAUAUGCAAGUAUGCAGAUUUAGAGGCUUUAAUGGACUGUGGUGAUUGUAAAAACUGCUUGGUAUGUAGAACAUAGCCGCUGCGGAUACUGUAAAUGGAUGUAUGUAGUUUUAGGUUUUAAUUUUUCCAGGAUUAGCACUGAUGUUACGUACGUACACUUUACAUUUAUUUCUUUUGAAUUGUAGAAUUCUAUUUUAGUGUCCUUACUUAGUGGUUGUACUGCUAUUCUCUAUGACACUUAAAUAAACUUAUUAAUAUUAUACUGCUAAGGUUAGUUUAUUUUUCACGCCUGCAUUUCUUCAUUCACUGCAGAAUAAAACGCAAAAAGACCAUUGAAUCCAUACGGUCACUACUAAGUAAUUUGGUAUUCAAUGCAGUGGUCACUCCAGUUAAUAUCAUUGAUAAACUUGUUAAAUUAACGCAAUGUAUUUUCACGGGGACGUAACUUCCCCUUUUCCACUCAUACAUAAAUUAUUCAGCAACAAAAACUCAAUCAAGUACGUUAAAUCACUAUAGUAUUACGAAUUGCACUUGACGAUGAAAUGUUGGGCCGAGAAUGUUUCAGAAAACAAGUAUACACAAAGCUGGAGUUUCUGCAUGAAUUGAGAGACGAGACUGUCCCAAAAUUUCAUUGUCAUAUAAAUCAGUUUACUUCUUCCAACUAUUACAAAAAGAAUAAAGAAUUUAUGGCCUUAACCUUGAUAGCGCAGUGCCUAUUUGAUCAAAGAUUCAAUGGCAGAACAAGCAUACAAUUUUACCCACAUGUAGCAAUGAGGGAUAAUUAGAAAUAUUUCUUUCAUAACUGCGGAAGUUUUUUAUUUCACCGAAAUGCUCUUUGAGACAUUUUUUUCUCAUAAGAGAAAGUCACAUACUCUUUACAAUAUAUAUCGGUCUUUGAGCGAAAUAGCAGCUAAAUAGAACUAUGCCGGCCAAUGAAACCUAACGAUGAGAAAUCAUGAAUACAUUAAAAUGUGGCUAAAGCAGAGCAUGGCUUUUGCAUUCUUAUUAAAACGAGGUAACUUCAAAGGUUACACUUGUCCCUCCGUUUGGAGUAUCAUCUCUUCUAAGAGGCAUAUAAGAAGAUUUAUUUCCAGCAGCCAGCGGCAUUAAUUCUGUAGAAUCAGCUGCCUGUUUGACUUUCGGUACCCUAAUGUCGUGAUGACUGGGUCGUGGACCAGCCAG